AUUGAACGCUGGCGGCAGGCCUAACACAUGCAAGUCGAGCGGAUGAGAGGAGCUUGCUCUUCGAUUCAGCGGCGGACGGGUGAGUAAUGCCUAGGAAUCUGCCUAGUAGUGGGGGACAACGUUUCGAAAGGAACGCUAAUACCGCAUACGUCCUACGGGAGAAAGUGGGGGAUCUUCGGACCUCACGCUAUUAGAUGAGCCUAGGUCGGAUUAGCUAGUUGGUAGGGUAAAGGCCUACCAAGGCGACGAUCCGUAACUGGUCUGAGAGGAUGAUCAGUCACACUGGAACUGAGACACGGUCCAGACUCCUACGGGAGGCAGCAGUGGGGAAUAUUGGACAAUGGGCGAAAGCCUGAUCCAGCCAUGCCGCGUGUGUGAAGAAGGCCUUCGGGUCGUAAAGCACUUUAAGUUGGGAGGAAGGGCUCAUAGCGAAUACCUGUGAGUUUUGACGUUACCAACAGAAUAAGCACCGGCUAACUUCGUGCCAGCAGCCGCCGCAG
rnacentral:rRNA from 1 species